rnacentral:rRNA from 1 species
CCUACGAGUGGCAGCAGUGGGGGAUAUUGCACAAUGGGGGGAACCCUGAUGCAGCGACGCCGCGUGGGUGAAGAAGCGCCUCGGCGCGUAAAGCGCUGUCAGCAGGGAAGAAAAUGACGGUACCUGAAGAAGAAGCCCCGGCUAACUACGUGCCAGCAGCCGCGGUAAUACGUAGUGGGCAAGCGUUAUGCGGUUUUACUGGGGGUAAAGGGGGCGCAGACGGCGAUGCAAGCAAGGAGUGAAAGCCCGGGGGCCAACCCCGGGACUGCUCUUGGAACUGCGUGGCUGGAGUGCAGGAGGGGCAGGCGGAAUUCCUGGUGUAGCGGUGAAAGGCGUAGAUAUCAGGAGGAACACCGGUGGCGAAGGCGGCCUGCUGGACUGCAACUGACGUUGAGGCCCGAAAGCGUGGGGAGCAAACAGGAUUAGAUACCCCAGUAGUC